AACCUACUCCCCCAGUCCGAAAUUACUUGUCCACAAAUGGAUAAAAGUGGAUGUAUCUAGAACUAAAAUAUGUCUAGAUACAUCCAUUUCUAUGACAUGUAUUUCCAGACCGAGAGAGUAUGUA
rfam:Triticum aestivum genome assembly, contig: Triticum_aestivum_CS42_TGACv1_scaffold_513991_6BS